rnacentral:rRNA from 13 species
AAGAGAAAGGAAAAGAAGGUGAAAAAGAAGAUGAAAAAGAAAAAGAAAAAAUAGUGACAAUCGGGCGAAGACUCAAAUGCCCAUUUUUACCACACGUUUUCUUUUCUCGCCUUUCUGUCCAAAUCCUUCGACCACACGCUUGGAGAUUAUUAUAUGCUUGGGGAGACAGUAA